GUGAACCUGCGGAAGGAUCAUUACCGAGUGCGGGCCCUCGCGGCCCAACCUCCCACCCUUGUCUCUAUACACCUGUUGCUUUGGCGGGCCCACCGGGGCCACCUGGUCGCCGGGGGACGCACGUCCCCGGGCCCGCGCCCGCCGAAGCGCUCUGUGAACCCUGAUGAAGAUGGGCUGUCUGAGUACGAUGAAAAUUGUCAAAACUUCAACAAUGGAUCUCUUGGUUCCGGCAUCGAUGAAGAACGCAGCGAAAUGCGAUAAGUAAUGUGAAUUGCAGAAUUCCGUGAAUCAUCGAAUCUUUGAACGCACAUUGCGCCCCCUGGCAUUCCGGGGGGCAUGCCUGUCCGAGCGUCAUUUCUGCCCUCAAGCACGGCUUGUGUGUUGGGUGUGGUCCCCCCGGGGACCUGCCCGAAAGGCAGCGGCGACGUCCGUCUGGUCCUCGAGCGUAUGGGGCUCUGUCACUCGCUCGGGAAGGACCUGCGGGGGUUGGUCACCACCAUAUUUUACCACGGUUGACCUCGGAUCAGGUAGGAGUUACCCGCUGAACUUAAGCAUAUCAAUAAGC
rnacentral:rRNA from 1 species